CACAUAUUUUAAUGCCCACCACCUUUUCUUAUCUUUUGAGCACAAAUAAUUCAUAUAUAUCCCUUUAUAGUCCCACUCCUCUAUCUUUAUAUCCUUAUUUAUGACCAACUCAAUUAAAUAAAAAAUAAAAACAAAUAAAUAAAUAAAUAAUUAUUCACCUCUUCAUAAGGAAAAAAAAUAUGGAAAAAGAAGGAGUGAUCAAUAUCAACAAAGGUAAUAUGAAGGUUGAAAUUCCGGCAGAAGGUCAAGUGCUGACUAGGCAAGGAAGUAUGACUAAGCAUAACUGCCUAUGCUCUCCGACGACCCACGUAGGCUCGUUCCGAUGCAGGCUGCACCGACUCCCGAGCCUGAACCGGACUAAAAGCAUCGACGACGACUCGGCCAAAGUUGUAACUAAUCGAGCUGUCGAUGCUCAUCAGUUAUGACAUUAAUAUUUGAAAAAUAAUUGAUUAUAUAUUUAUUAUGCGUUUCAUGAUCAAUUUUAUGUGAUAUAUUAUAAGUAUAUUAUUGAUGUAUGUUAUAUUAUUACUUAUAUAGUUAUAUGUGUUUUUCUAAGUGAUUCUCAUCAUUUAAUUAUUAUUACAGAUUAAACUUGGUGGCACUAGACAACAAACAUAUGAUGUAUCCAAUCAUAUGUCUGAUUUUUUUUUUA